rnacentral:lncRNA from 12 species
CAACUUCAUUAUCUUGGCAUGGGUACAUACAGCUCAUGGGACCAUAAAAAGUCUCUCUGUGUAAAGCACAGAGCUUUCCCCUUCUGGGCAUGGAUGGAGCCAAGAGCCUGAAUGAACCACCCACCUCUCUUGCUGUAUUGUCUUCUGUGCUCUGCCAGCCUCUACACCAGAAGAGUCAGAAGAAAAUGUGAGCCCCAGAGAUCUGAGUGACCCCUUGAAAAAUUAUAGACCAGUUCUUACCUGUGCAGUACAAUGUGAUCCAGGACCCUCCACUCAGUUUGGGUAAAGUGCCUUU